rnacentral:rRNA from 1 species
AUUGAACGCUAGCGGCAGGCCUAACACAUGCAAGUCGAACGAGUGGCGGACGGGUGAGUAAUGUCUGGGAAACUGCCUGAUGGAGGGGGCUAACUACUGGAAACGGUAGCUAAUACCCCCUACCAUCAUAUGUGCCCAGUUGGGAUUAGCUAGUAGGUGGGGUACUGGCUCACCUAGGCGACGCUCCAUAGCUGGUCUAAGAGGAUGAUCAGCCACACGGAGACGGAGGCACGGCACAGACUCCUACGGGAGGCAGCGGUGGGGAAUAUUGAACAGUGGGCGCAAGCCUGAUGCAGCCAUGCCGCGUAUAUGAAGAAGGACCUAGGGUUGGAAAGUACUUUCAGUCGGGAGGCGUUACCGACAGAAGAAGCACCGGCUAACUCCGUGCCAGCAGCCGCGGUAAUAC